GCAAGUCGAGCGAAUUUGAUGGGAGCUUGCUCCCUGAAAAUUAGCGGCGGACGGGUGAGUAACACGUGGGCAACCUACCUGUAAGCCUGGGAUAACUUCGGGAAACCGGAGCUAAUACCGGAUAAUUUCUUUCUUCACAUGGAGAGAGGUUGAAAGACGGCUUUGCUGUCACUUACAGAUGGGCCCGCGGCGCAUUAGCUAGUUGGUGAGGUAACGGCUCACCAAGGCCACGAUGCGUAGCCGACCUGAGAGGGUGAUCGGCCACACUGGGACUGAGACACGGCCCAGACUCCUACGGGAGGCAGCAGUAGGGAAUCUUCCGCAAUGGACGAAAGUCUGACGGAGCAACGCCGCGUGAGUGAAGAAGGUCUUCGGAUCGUAAAACUCUGUUAUCAGGGAAGAACAAGUACCGGAGUUACUGCCGGUACCUUGACGGUACCUGACCAGAAAGCCACGGCUAACUACGUGCCAGCAGCCGCGGUAAUACGUAGGUGGCAAGCGUUGUCCGGAAUUAUUGGGCGUAAAGCGCGCGCAGGCGGUUCUUUAAGUCUGAUGUGAAAUCUUGCGGCUCAACCGUGAGCGGUCAUUGGAAACUGGAGAACUUGAGUGCAGAAGAGAAGAGCGGAAUUCCACGUGUAGCGGUGAAAUGCGUAGAGAUGUGGAGGAACACCAGUGGCGAAGGCGGCUCUUUGGUCUGUAACUGACGCUGAGGCGCGAAAGCGUGGGGAGCGAACAGGAUUAGAUACCCUGGUAGUCCACGCCGUAAACGAUGAGUGCUAAGUG
rnacentral:rRNA from 1 species